CGGGUAGCGGAACACGUACACAACCUUCCUUCAAAUGGGGAAUAGCCCAGGGAAACUUGGAUUAAUACCCCGUAACAUUAUGAAGUGGCAUCACUUUAUAAUUAUAGCUCCGGCGUUUGGAGAUGAGUGUGCGGCUGAUUAGGUAGUUGGCGGGGUAACGGCCCACCAAGCCUUCGAUCAGUAACUGGUGUGAGAGCACGACCAGUCACACGGGCACUGAGACACGGCCCAG
rnacentral:rRNA from 1 species